UACGGAGGGUGCAAGCGUUAUCCGGAUUCACUGGGUUUAAAGGGUGCGUAGGUGGGCUUGUAAGUCAGUGGUGAAAUCUCCGUGCUUAACAUGGAAACUGCCAUUGAUACUAUAGGUCUUGAAUUAUCUGGAGGUCAGCGGAAUAUGUCAUGUAGCGGUGAAAUGCUUAGAUAUGACAUAGAACACCAAUUGCGAAGGCAGCUGGCUACAGGUAUAUUGACACUGAGGCACGAAAGCGUGGGGAUCAAACAGG
rnacentral:rRNA from 1 species